CCUACCUCAUCCAUCCAGCCCUGCAGCCUGAAGCCUACCUCAUCCACUCUGCCCUGCAAGCCUGAGGACUACCUCAUCCACUCUGCUCUGCAGCCUGAGGCCUACCUCAUCCACCCAGCCCUGCAGGGAGCCUGAGGCCUACCUCAUCGACCCAGCUCUGCAGCUUAGGCCUAUUUCAACUUCCAUCAUGGCGAGUAUAAUUCUCACCCUCCUGGCUUUGCUCUGUUUGCCUUUAUUUUCAGAGUAUGAAGCCAACCAGGAGAUCCCAGUGUCUGUAGCGUUUCCUUACAUGUUCUUUGUAUGUCAUCACGGUCAAAGGUUACUAGCUGGGCGCAGGACUUUGAUAUCAAUCAAGGGUGCUGGAUGCUUGAAAUGAGCCAGGUUUCAAAGCAUGUAAACUUCAAUUAUCUUUUAAGCCUUCUUGUCCUAAAGGACUGCUUUAUCCCAUCAAAUGACUCUUGGCCUAUUACGAUAAAUGAUGUCGCUAAGAAAAUCAAGAAGCAUUUUCAUGAAACACGCAUGUUGAAAUGUAUGCUUAUGCUUAUGUUGUUGAUAUCAGGGAAUGUUCAGCCUAACCCAGGCCCUGUGUCUGAUGUGAUAUCACUACAAACCCCUGCUGAAUUUUUGAAUAGGUCUGGUAUUGGUUUUGUACAUAUGAAUGUGAGAAGUCUUUUGCCCAAAAUUGAUAUGGUUAGAAUUUGGGCCAAAUCAACAAAUGUUGACAUUAUGGUUUUAUCUGAGACAUGGCUGAGUAGAUCCACGCCUGAUAGUCAUAUUUAUUUGGAUGGGUAUAAUAUCUUUCAUGCUGAUCGCCGUGCCAAAGGUGGAGGCGUAGCAAUUUAUGUUAAAAAUACAUUUUAGGCAACAGUACAAUUAUCCAAGUCUGUGCCUAAACAAUUUGAAUUGCUUGUCUUGAAAGUUGAAUUUACGAAGAGCUGUGUUAUGACAGUAGGGGGAUGUUAUAGACCUCCUUCUGCCUUAAAGGAUACACUACUCUCAUUGUCUGACUGCUUAUCAACUAUUAACUACAAUGAUCUGCUUUUAAUAGGGAAUUUAAAUUGGGAUUGGUUAACCCCUGCUUCUGAUUCUUUUAAAUGUUUCUGUGACUCAGCCCUUUUGGCUCAAAUUAUUGACUCACCAACUAGGCCAAAACCUAAACACCCUGAGAAGUCGACACUCCUUGACUUGAUUUUAACCAAUUUUCCCCAGAAAUACAAGGCUACCACUGUGUUUGCAAAUGAUGUUAGUGAUCACUGCGUUAUUGCUUGUGUGAGAGACACAAAGUUAUCAAAAAGUAAACCCCGUAUCAUACUUAGGCGUAAUUUUAAGUCAUUUUCUGAACAAGCCUUUUUAAAUGACAUAUAUCUAUGUGAUUGGACCAGGGUAAAUUUGAUUCCAGAUGCUGAGACAGCUUUACAGUAUUUUAAUUCCUCACUUUUGGACAUUAUAGACAAACAUGCUCCUCUCAGAAAAUACAAGGUUAAAGGUCGUGAUAAUCCAUGGUUUUCUGAUUUAAUUCAUAAACGAGAUCUUGCCUGGGCAACUGCAAGAAAUCCAAAAAUAGCUCAGACUGGCAACUUUUUAGGCACCUGAGGAACAAGUGUGUCUCUCAGAUACGUAAAGCCAAAGCCGAUUUUUAUCUUAAUGAAAUUUGUGACAGUGCAAACAACGCUUCUAAAUUCUGGAAAAUGAUUAAAUCUCUGUCUUCAGGGUCAAAGGAUACUGUGCUGCCAAAUACAUUAAAGUUGAAUGAUGAGACCAUUACAGACAAGAAAAGUAUGCUAGAUUCUUUGAACCAGCACUUUAUAUCUUCUGGGUUGUUGUUUGAGCAGGACAUACCACAAGUGGUGAGUCAACAGGAUCACUCAUUGUCCAGGGAAAAUCUACCUUUUGAUUUUGAUCUUGCACCUUUGUCUAGAGAUGAGGUAUAUGGUGCUCUCUUAAGGUUAAAUGCCAGUAAAUCCCCCGGUCCUGAUGGGUUGGGUGCUUUCUUUUUAAAACUUGCUGCUGAGCAUAUUGCAGACCCCCUGACUUAUGUUUUCAAUCGGACUAUAGAAAUUGGGAUAAUACCUAGCAUUUGGAAAUCAGCAUAUGUCACUCCUUUACUGAAGGGUGGUGACCGGUCUGAUCUCAAUAAUUAUAGGCCGAUAUCCAAAUUACCUGUUUUGGCCAAGGUCUUGGAAGGGCUUAUAAGUGAUCAACUGAAAAAUUUCUUGACAUCAAAUAGCAUUUUAAAUGAAUUACAGUCUGGUUUCCGUAAAAAACACAGCACAGUCACUGCCAUGAUGAAAGUGUUAAAUGAUUUCAUUUGUUCUAUUGACUCUAAAAAUGUAACUGAUGCCAAUUUCCAUUUUUAUGCAGAUGACACCGUUUUGUAUUGCUCAGCUCCAACAUUAGCUAGUGCAACAGAAUGUCUGCAGUCUGCUUUUAAUGUUAUUCAGAAAAAUCUCUAUCAAUUAAGACUUGUACUAAAUACUGAUAAGACUAAAAUGAUGUGCUUUUCAAAAUCAUUGAGAUCACAUGAUGUCUGUCAGAUUGAUACUCUAAAUGAGAAAUUAGUCGAACGAGUUUCUGUCUACAAAUACCUGGGAUUUCACUUGGAAGAAAAUUUGUCCUUUAGGCACCAUAUUGAAUAUCUUACAAAGAAACUCCGGGUGAAACUGGGUUUCUUCUAUAGAAACAAGGGUUGUUUCUCCUUUGGUGCAAGAAAAAGGCUUAUACAGGCAACGUUUUUAUCCAUACUUGAUUAUGGUGACUUCUUAUAUAUGCAUGCAAAUCUCUCUUCUUUAAAAAUGCUGGAUUCAGUGUAUCAUGCGGCAUUAAGAUUUGUAACUGGCUUAGAUUUUCGUACUCAUCACUGCAGUGUUGGUUGGUCCUCUCUGCAAAAUCAUAGAUUGGAACAUUGGUAUAUCUUUCUUUACAAGGCCAUUCUAGGUGACUUGCCCUCUUACCUAUGUUCCCUCUUAACUCCCAAAAUCACUAACAGGAGUAAUCUCCGGUCUGAUGGACAGAUCAUGUACGCUAUUCCUCUGACAAGGACGGGUUUUGGCGCAAGCGCUUUCAAGGCUUUUGCACCCUCCUCCUGGUGUAAAUUACAGGGUUAUUUUAAAUUGGAUUAUCUGCCAAGUAUGGCACAUUUUAAAACUAGAAUUAAGGAGUUUUUGAGUACUGAAUGCACGUCUUCUUACUGAACACUGAUUUAUUGUUGUGUUUGCAUACUGUAACUGUUUUGUGUUUCUGUGUGUGUGUUUUUCUUUUCUUUAUGUGGAACUUCUUGUGCUGCUAUCCUGGCCAGGACUCCCUUGUAAAAGAGAUUCUGAAUCUCAAUGGGUUUAUUUCCUGGUAAAAUAAAGGUUACUAACUAACUAACUAAUUCAAUAUAAAUGACAACAAAUAAACCGUUUACAAAUGUACCCACAGAUGUCCAGUUACAUGAUUAUGUUAGCAUGCUAUUUAUUUAAUUAACUUGACCCUCAAUUGCAGUGUUCACUACUAUGUUUGUUUUUGAUGCAAAGAAGAUUCUGGAGCCAUGGUGUUUCCAGAGGGACUGUUCCAGAGAGAUCGCAUUAAAAGACUGAAUGUGUCACAACAGUGUCUUGAUGACUGUCUCAUCUCAACAACUUUGGCAAAUGUGCAUUACUUUUCCAGGACUGUGGAGGCUGCAUCAAGUACAUCCUUCACAGCCCAGCAUAUGCUUUAAUUCUUUGUGUACAAAUACCAUAGACUGUAUAGGAUGGACGCCGUCUUCCUCCUUGCUGGGUGAAGCCACCCUGAGAACAGCAUCCGCUGGUGACAGGCUGGAGUAUAGGUCAUAAAUCCCUUCUCCUCCAGCAAUCCCUAUGAAGCUGUGGACAAACUUUAAAAAUGUAUUUCACAGAAUAUACAUCUUUCUCCCCCCUGGUUGCAAUGUUGACAUGUAGUUACUGUAAGACUGGUUUGUGCUCUAGUUCUCUUUUUUCUGUCCAGUUCCAUUUUAAAAAGUUAUUAGGGGGUUCAUGUUUUGUAUGAUUGACACUUGAUACAGCCUAUGGGCGAACAAAGACUGCAUAGCACACCAGGGACAUGCUGUUUGAGCCAAGCGUCAUUACAGCGACUCAAGGUGACUCUCCUGCUGAAUGUGUACAAUGCUACUGCUCAAGGGGUAGAAUGCGUACAACUCUACUGCACAAGUGGUGGUUCCAAGAAGUAGAGAAAAUCCUGAAAAUACCAAAAGCAAUUUGGCUUCAAAUUUGUGUAAUGACAGAAGACGGAGCCAAGUUGUCCAUAGUACAUACAGUCUAUGGAAAAUACUUAUGGGAUGGUUGUUAGCCAGGUAUCUGCCUCUUGCUAAGGAACUAGAGUGACACUAUGGGCUCUAUUUUCGUGCCUCGCCGGAGACGUGCCGCAGGCGCGGCGCAAGUCAGGUCCGAUGCGCCGACAAGGCGUUCCCAAGCACAAUUUGGUAUUUUGGUGAGAGGCGCAGCCCGGCGUAAGUAUCCCCCCCUCCCUAACUCAGCUCCUCCCAGCGGCGCAAGUUGUAGCGAGGGAGGAGAGAGGGCGUGGAGUGGGUUUAACACAGCCAAGACCUGUUUUCAUCAAUCACAUAAGCGCCUUUCCUUGCCUUUAAAUCCGCCACCGGCGAGGUGUAUAACUAUUUUCGUGAAGUAGUCAAAGAGAUCAAGAGAUGUCUGAAGACAGUAAUGCCACAAGAUGGCGACAGAAGGCAGCUCCUCAACAAGUGUCACUGUAAGUGCUGCAGAGGGCGUCCUUCACACUCUCUCAUAUGAGCACAGAUGGAUUUGGUGUGUGUAAUGUUGGACCCACUGGUGAGACGAACACCCUUUUCCACAAAUAAAGACACUCACAUAAAGUUGCAUAUAUUCAAACCUCACGUGACAAAGGUGGGUUGAGCGCACAGAUCACAACAUAAACCCUAAAAAUGGCAUUAAAAUCGGAAACAUCUGUGUGUAAUGACGCAUCACGCUCCGUGGCCUGGCUCUUUCUUUCAUAGAUGUUGGCAUAUAAAAUAAUUUUUGGUCACAAAACUGAAUAGUAUAAUAUCUGUAUGUAGGCUUAAAGUAAAUAACUCAUCUGAGCACUGACACAAAUCAUCUGUUCGGCCGCUGCAGCAGCUGCAGCUGCAGCAGCAGCUGCAGCAGGACGGAGAGAGGACACAGACAGAUGUCCAGGUCGAGCUGCGC